AUUGAACGCUGGCGGCAGGCCUAACACAUGCAAGUCGAGCGGAUGAAGGUAGCUUUCUUCUGGAUUCAGCGGCGGACGGGUGAGUAAUUCCUAGGAAUCUGCCUGGUAGUGGGGGAUAACGUCCGGUAACGGGCGCUAAUACCGCAUACGUUCUGAGGGAGAAAGUGGGGGAUCUUCGGACCUCACGCUAUCAGAUGAGCCUAGGUCGGAUUAGCUAGUUGGUGGGGUAAAGGCCUACCAAGGCGACGAUCCGUAACUGGUCUGAGAGGAUGAUCAGUCACACUGGAACUGAGACACGGUCCAGCCUCCUACGGGAGGAAGCAGUGGGGAAUAUUGGACAAUGGGCGAAAGCCUGAUCCAGAAAUGCCGCGUGUGUGAAGAAGGUCUUCGGAUUGUAAAGCACUUUAAGUUGGGAGGACGGGCAGUAAGUUAAUACCUUGCUGUUUUGACGUUACCAACAGAAUAAGCAACGGCUAACUUCGUG
rnacentral:rRNA from 1 species